UGUGAGCUGCCGUUUGGGAACUUUUCUGUUUGCAGAUGACGUACUCAUAGUAUUCUUUACUUAUAUUAUUUUCUACUUUGCUCAGUCGACUAUGAUACUUACUGAGUAUAAGUGGAUUGCACUCACUCCUACUGUGCCCUUUCCGUGCAGAUUCUAGUAUGAGCACGACAUGCGGUGACUGAUUUCAAGAUGAUUUGAGUUGGUGAUUUCGAGGUAUUGGCACACUCUUGGGCUUUCGGGGUUGACUCCAGGCCAUCUCUAAUCUAUUUUGAUGUCUUUAUUAGUUUUGAUAUGUAACCAGUUGUACUUCGAUAUUUCAGAUGUAUUUACUAGAUGCUCUACACUUAUGACACCAGAUUUUGAGAAUUUUAUGUAUUUUGUUUAAACUUCCACUAAAUUUACAUAUGUUUUGACUUGAUUUUGUUUUAGAAGUCUC
rnacentral:lncRNA from 1 species